rnacentral:rRNA from 1 species
GGUCCCGCCUGCCCUGUGACCGCAAGUUUAACGGCCGCGGUAUCCUGACCGUGCGAAGGUAGCGUAAUCAUUUGUCUUUUAAAUGAAGACCUGUAUGAAUGGCAUAACGAGGGUUUAGCUGUCUCCCUUCCCCAGUCAAUGAAAUUGAUCUACCCGUGCAGAAGCGGGUAUAUAACCAUAAGACGAGAAGACCCUAUGGAGCUUUAGACAAAGGAUCGCACAUGUAAAGAGGGCCCAUUGUCCAAAAGGACUACAGUGGCCGUAAAACCAGAUGUACAACGAACCAAGUGUCUUCGGUUGGGGCGACCAUGGGGGAAAGAAAAGCCCCCACGAGGAACGGGGAAACCCUGAGCUAAGAGGGACACCUCUAAGCAACAGAAAAUCUGACCGCAACUGACCCAGGACAACGCUCCUGAUCAACGAACCAAGUUACCCUAGGGAUAACAGCGCAAUCCUCUCCCAGAGUCCAUAUCGACGAGGGGGUUUACGACCUCGAUGUUGGAUCAGGACAUCCUAAUGGUGCAGCCGCUAUUAAGGGCUCGUUUGUUCAACGAUUAAUAGUCCUACGUGAUCUGA